rnacentral:rRNA from 1 species
AUUGAACGCUGGCGGCAGGCCUAACACAUGCAAGUCGAACGAGUGGCGGACGGGUGAGUAAUUUCUGGGAAACUGCCUGAUGGAGGGGGAUAACUACUGGAAACGGUAGCUAAUCCCGCAUACCAUCGGAUGUGCCCAGAUGGGAUUAGCUAGUAGGUGGGGUAACGGUUCACCUAGGCGACGAUCCCUAGCUGGUCUGAGAGGAUGACCAGCCACACUGGAACUGAGAGACGGCCCAGACUCAUACGGGAGGCAGCGGUGGGGAAUAUUGCACAAUGGGAGGAAGUCUGACGCAGCCAUGCCGCGUGUAUGAAGAAGGCCUUCGGGUUGUAAAGUACUUUCAGCGGGGAGGAGUUAUCCGAAGAAGAAGCAACGGCUAACUCCGUGCCAGCAGCCGCGGUAAUUC